rnacentral:lncRNA from 1 species
AAAACAUUUAGAAGCUUGUUAUAGUCGGAUUUCAUUACAAAAUUGAAAAAAGAAGGAAUCAAACAACAAAAUUUUAAAUUCUAGUUCCAAUUUAUAUGCGCAAGUCAGAAUAUUGGGGUACUUUACCAAGAAAAGGGUAUGUACGAGAGAAAAUCAAGAACUGUUGCUAUGUUAUAGAUAUCUUAUGUUAAUGAACAAGGAGUUCAAAGUUAAUAUUACUUUUAUGAUCUAUUUUACCGUCGUCGCAUGUUCUUGUAGGAGGAAUUCGAUUUGCAAAACUGUAGAAAAAGAAAGGCAGAUUUUCGACACUAAUCGAGGUAGAAUAUGGAUCCAUGGCUCUCUUGAACCUGUAGGGAGUUUCCGGUCAAAUCCACACCGUCGCCGCCGGUGAAAGAGGAAGAAAUUAUUGGCCGGUCGGGGAAUUUCGUUUUUGUUAAAAUGGGAGAGUGGGAGUUUGAGUGUGAGAUGUGGAAGGGCAAAAUUGGAAGGC